rnacentral:rRNA from 1 species
GACGAACGCUGGCGGCGUGCUUAACACAUGCAAGUCGAACGGUGAAGCGCCUUCCUUUUUGGUGGGUGUGGAUGAGUGGCGAACGGGUGAGUAACACGUGAGUAACCUGCCCCCUUCUUCUGGAUAACCGCAUGAAAGUGUGGCUAAUACGGGAUAUUCUGGGUCUGUCGCAUGAUGGGUCUGGGAAAGAUAUUGUUUCGGUGGGGGAUGGGCUCGCGACCUAUCAGCUUGUUGGUGGGGUGAUGGCCUACCAAGGCGGUGACGGGUAGCCGGCCUGAGAGGGUGGACGGUCACACUGGGACUGAGACACGGCCCAGACUCCUACGGGAGGCAGCAGUGGGGAAUAUUGCACAAUGGGCGCAAGCCUGAUGCAGCGACGCCGCGUGAGGGAUGGAGGCCUUCGGGUUGUGAACCUCUUUCGCCAGUGAAGCAGGCCUGCCUCGUUUGUGGGUGGGUUGACGGUAGCUGGAGAAGAAGCGCCGGCUAACUACGUG